rnacentral:rRNA from 1 species
GACGAACGCUGGCGGCGUGCUUAACACAUGCAAGUCGAACGGUGAACGAGGGAGCUUGCUCCCUCCGGAUCAGUGGCGAACGGGUGAGUAACACGUGAGCAAUCUGCCCCGAACUCUGGGAUAAGCGUUGGAAACGACGUCUAAUACCGAUACCACGCCGGGGGGGCAUCUCCUCGCGGGGGAAGAACCUCGGUUCGGGAUGAGCUCGCGGCCCAUCAGCUUGUUGGUGAGGUAACGGCUCACCAAGGCGACGACGGGUAGCCGGCCUGAGAGGGUGACCGGCCACACUGGGACUGAGACACGGCCCAGACUCCUACGGGAGGCAGCAGUGGGGAAUAUUGCACAAUGGGCGCAAGCCUGAUGCAGCAACGCCGCGUGAGGGACGACGGCCUUCGGGUUGUAAACCUCCUUUAGCAGGGAAGAAGCGAAAGUGACGGUACCUGCAGAAAAAGCACCGGCUAACUACGUG